rnacentral:tRNA from 1 species
GGCCUCGUAGUUCAGCUGGUAGAACGCGCGCUGUACGAAAGCGCAGGCGACGUCCAUGCGUGGGUUCCAAUCCCACCGAGACUA